rnacentral:misc_RNA from 1 species
AUACUGAAAAGGUACCUUUUUCGUUUCUUUGUUUUGCUGAACCUAUUCUGGGUAGUUGCUAAUCCUAUUGAAAAGUUUGAUCGUGAUUUUUUUGUGUGUAAUAUUUUAGCUUGGUUUGGGGGUACUCAGGCCCAAAGAUGUGUUCUCUUCAUACUUUUCUGUGACAAUCUUAAUUGGGUAUCUGCUAAAAUCAAUGGAAAACGGUUUUAUUCUAGGACAUGCGAUUUUUAAUAGAUUUUAUCUGCUCAGGUUAAAUGGGCACUUGUUAGUAUCUUUAGAGAACAGUUUGGUUAAGGUAAUUGAUGAUUGUCAGUGGAAUUGUACCUCAGCCGGUAGUGGACUGGUACCAAACCUAAAAACAUCUCACUUUAUUGCUUUAAUUUAUUCUCAUGUUCAAUUUAUCUUAAUGAUGGCUAAUCUAGAGGAACAUAACAUUUGUUUAGGUUGAUUGAUUUGUUAGAUAAGUUCUAAUUCUAACUUAUGUCACUGUUAGGUGCAUUUUGUAUG